AUUUAUUAUGAAAAAGAAUAACGCAGGCCAGUAUUUGGUAACAGCUCAGCUACCACUGAAAUUUAUUCAAUCUGCUAUCUGCCUAGAUAUUCACAGUUUUCACAAAACUCAAGCUUGAGAAACGCACAUAUGUGUACAGGCAGUGUGUUUUAUUUAUUUCUCUGAUGUGAUAAGACGUGAAAAUAAAGUAGUGUCUUUUAUGUAGAUACUGAAGUUUAUGUAGAUACAGCCAUGUCUUACCUCUCCCCCUUACUACUCUGAGUUGUGCCAGAGCUAUCAGUUUUUAAAUAUGGACUGUUUUUGUUUUUUUUAAAAGACUUAUGCUCAGCUGUUCAGUACACUGGAAAUCUUCAUCUUUACAGGUUCACUGUGUAAAUAUUGAUUUUGCAUCUCUCUGUUUUACUCAUUAACUCAAACGUGAUAAUAGUUCUGUUAAACAAAAGUUUUUAAGGAAAUGAAAUACUGUACCUUCCUAAUGCUACGUGCUUUUUUUUUUUUCCUAAGGUGACCAUCUCAUUCCAGCUGCAAACUGCAGUCUGUUGUGGGGGUAUUCUGGCUUUAGAUGUGACAUGCUUUGUUUCUUGAGAAUGCCAGCCUCAAAAAUGACCACAGAUGGCUGUUUAUGACUAAGUAAAAUGUACACACAGAUUCAAUCUAGAGUCAUCAAAACUUGAUGCUGUUCUUAGAUACAUAUAUCUACUCUUGAUGUGUCUCCUGUAGCAGUUUACUCAAUUCUUCCUAUAUAACUGCAGAUAAAUGUAAGUAUUACUGUUCAUGAGAAAGCAUGAGAUUUGCAGGAGCCUUUCAGGUUCAAAUUUCUAUCUUCAGCAGGUAAAGAAAUUAGGAACAGAGAAUGAAUUAAAAGUGGUGGAAGACCCAGGCUUUUAUCCAUUGAGGUACUUUUUCAGAACAAGGCCUCAAAGCUGAAAUUCAUGGAAAACCUGUACUUUGAACCUUGGUUCCAAGUGUGGGAUUUGAUUCACAGAAUCCACAUCUGUGGCUCAGUGACCAACUGUCAUUCCUGUUCUUGUGAACCUGACUUCAGAAUUUAAGCCAGUGGAAAGCACUUCUGUAACCAGAACAAGAACAGCCUGAGGCUUAGAAGAUUACAGAUGAGGAUACUUGGCUGUGUGAAAAAUCAGCUGUACUGGUAUAUAUUUCAGCACUUCUCCAAAAGCUCAGUUUUGCAGGUUGCUGAGCACUGCUCUGCUGUCAUCAAUUCCACCUGAAACCAGUGAACCAAACAUUCAGCUUCAUGAAUCAGGGAAGCUGUUACUGCCAUGGAUACAUGCUUGAUUACUACUGGGGGGAAAAAAAAAAAGAUAUCAGAUCUGGAAAUGGCCUGAAUUCACAGAUCUGUGUAUUUUAAGUACAUAGCUCUACUCAGUAUUGUCUGGUACCAGGAAAAGUUUCUGAUUAAAUGGGAUUUUUUUUUUUUGGCUAGUAAUAAGGAAAAGAAAGUUUAUUCUUUUUCUUUUGAGAUUUUAUUUUUCAUCUUUUAAGCACUGUGUGUCUUAAUCCUUUUUAAUGCAACAGUUGCUGGCAAGAUGUUGAAAACCUCCUCUGACACAGCAAUUCUUUCACAUAUGACAGUUGACUGCAGGUCCUGCAGUGUAGCCAGAUAGCAACACGUCAGUGCCUGAGUAGGUAUUCUCUGUGUCAGGAGUUGCAGACUUGGAAAUGUUCCCUAGCAAAUCAAGAAACAGAUGGUCUUUAUUACAUUGAGUUUUCCUAAGAAACUGUGGAAAGAAACUGAGGGACAGUGACGACAGAAAUUCACGUAACUCAAUAGUAUUCUCUGCUUUUUUCGCAAAUGUGAAACAGUGAGGAAGAAAGGGGAAAUGGAAAGAUAAACAAAUAUUCUUGUGUCUGCAAUAGUCUUCCUCUUUUAGCCUCUAAGAGUUUUGCAAAGUGCUCCAGGCCAAGUAAUUUUUUCCACCCCAUGAACCCUAGAAGCUCAUCUUAAGGGAUCUCCAUUAACUACCACUACCUUGCCUAUAUGUAGAACGAUGACUCAAAUCCUAAUGUCAGAACGCUUUUCAUGCAUUAAUGAAUUUCAGAUUUGGGAGACCUAGAGACAGCCCUCUUUGAGUCACUGCUUUCUUUAAUUUGUUCCUUUCAUGCUUCUGUUUGAAGCUAUGCAUCAGAGCAUCCACUGCUUCUUUUUCUUUCCUUCCUCUACCAGGCUUUCAUGCCUUAUGCCUUCCUGUUUCAUCAUCAUUGUGAAGAAGGUAUUUCAUGAUCACCUGCAGUGCUUGCAUGACUGAUCUGCAGGCUUACUUUGGGGCAGCAAUCCUAGACUGUCCAAGUGUAUUUUCACAGAUACAGUGGUGGUAAAUUUUUAGUUUCUAUCUAGGAGUAAAUGUCCUAUUAGUCAGUCAGACCUUCAGUCUUGCAUCUUUCCCAUUGUAUUGUACUUGGACAUAAAUAGCAUUGGAUUUUCACAGCUCUUUUAUGACUUAAUGUACUGCAGUUUCUUUGGUCGCUGAAAGUGUCAACUUUACUAUGGGAAAACAAUACUUUUCUAGCCGUCUCAAUGAAGACAAAGAUAUUGUCUAUCCAUAACCAGCUUAGUAAUCCUUAAACAUUUCCCAACCCAGAUUCCUGCCAAAAUUGUAGAUAUACAAGACAUAAUAAUCAGAAGUUGCACUAAUUGUCAUUCCAAUCUCUUUUUGAAUAAUAUUACAGUUGUACAAAUAUUGAAGUUAGGAGUCUACAUUUGUUUGCACUAUUUCUGGCAAUUAAUCUUCCAAGAAGCCAAGAGGUUCAUAUGUGAGAAGUGCUGGUGGCUUACAUAACCUCAUUGUGAUGCUUUCUUUUUAAUUACACAUCUUGUGUAGAUAUAAACAAAAAUAAUUGCAGCUGAAGAUUUUAUCCACUAUUUAUUCAUUUUUCAACUUUUCAGUUGUCUUUGAUGGCAAAACAGCUGGGGAGAAAAUAGCCUCUGUGUGUAUCAUUUCAGCUAACUUUCUAUUCUUGAAAGUAGGAACUGUAUAACAAUGUUUUGAAUAAUGACCUUUGGGAUAUAGCAGUACUACACAAAUCUUACUGUCAAUAGAGCUAGUGGCAAGAAAAACAAUUGAGGGGAACACAUUAGCACUCCAAAGCGCCAUUUCACAACAAAAUAGUUACUGAGCUGACAAACGCCAGACAAGGUUUGCCUUGCUGCAGUAGAAAUGACUGCGGCUUCUUGUCCUCAUUUUUGAAACAAUAUUUACAGUUAAAUGUCUAAACCAAAUCCAUGUAAUGAAGUAGGCUUAGUGGUACAUGCUGGUUCAAGCAUUCUCAGCAUGCGUGCACCCCUGAUGUCUUUCCAGUCUUACUUUGUACUAGUCAGCAUCCAUUUCCUAUAAUGUAUUGGUGCUCAGCAUCUGAGGAAAUUAGUAGAGAUAAAAUGUAAAAUAGUGCUUUACUCCCUUUUUAAGUAGUUUGGGAAAUGGGACAGUAGCCUUUCCUACCCUUACUCUUUUUCUGUGCUCCUGCCAGCGAAAAACAGAGUUUCUAGAGCCGUUUACACAAAGCGCGUGCCAUGAGCUGUCAAGCAGACAGUUCUAUAAGAUUAUUAAUAUUGUUUAAUUGUGAAUCUUGUAAUACAAAAUAAGUUGCUUACUUUCAUUAAAAUGAUGCCUGCAGAAAUACUUGUAGGAAUCUGUGCUGAAUGUCUCCCAAGUGAGAAAAACAGAUAGUUGAAUGCCUGCUGAAAGUGACCAAAAGAGAUGCAAAAAAAGACAGGCUUUUUGAAGGCACCAAAUUACUACAGACUUUGCUGUGAACCUUCACACAAUAUGUUUGAGGGUUUUAGUCUUGUCCUAUUCAUAAACCUACCUGAACUGGUGCACCUACGCUUUGAAGUAACCACUGCAUUGAAAUACUCUGUUGUAACCUAAUAUCUAUUACAGUAAGGCUUGUUUUAGCAUCAAUAAGAUACUCAACUUAGAAUGGGAAGCAUCUUCAGCCAACCAUUAAUUAUAGUCACUGUGCAUUUCUCUUAUGCCAGUCUUGAACAGCUGCCUUAAGUACAUCUGUUAGUCGGUGUGGAGAGGUAGGAGAUUCCAGGGGGUCCCUCAUUUAUUAAAUGGAUUGAGUUUCCCUCAGUUUUAAGAGGACAGUAGCCUCCAGGUAAAUAGAGUGUUUUACACUGUACUGUCAAGACUCAAGUAACAUUUCUGUGGGAACAUAAAUAAUAAUAGCUACGUGUUUAGCAACGGUUUUAAUCUGUGAUCUUACAGACCUCCAGGCAUCUGUGGACUACUCCUAAGGGAUCAAUGAAAGAUAAUUAACAAUAGCAACCCACUGGUAAAAUUUUUUGUUAUCUAGGGAUCCAUGCAUUCAGCAGAAAAUUAUUGGGAGAUAUAUAUAUAGAAAAACAUUGAAAAAUGCAGGGAGCUGCAGCAUCUGGGACGAAUUAUGUGAGCAGUUGGAGAAACAUGCUAAAUUGUGAUGCACACAAAGAUAUUCCUUAAAUAUCUCAAAAUGAGAAGGUAUUCAGCUGACACAUCUAAUGAUCUUACCCCAUUUUGUCCUGGGAGCUCCAUUUCCUUUUUGAUUACAUUUUCACAGGACUGUGUUUCUCCUAAAAUCAUUUGUCCUAAAAUAGGUCUGUAUUUCUGAAUCAAUUUUUCAAGUCUCAUAUUUCUGAGAGAGAAAUGGGACAUUUUUAAGUGAGAUGUUGCUAUAUGACUGUCUUUAGCAUCUGAUCAUUCCUCAGGUAGAGUGAAAUCUUUCAAGUAGUUCAUUCUUUGGGUUCAUUCUAUUCACACUGGUGGCAAUGAAUACAUUGUCGUGGAUUGAUACCGACUUAGCAGCCAGCCACGUAAAGAGACAGAAACAGAGGACUGUAGCUUGUAAAAGCAACAGGCACAUUCAAACAGAUGCUGCAAGAGGAUUUGUUCUGAGGGCAUACUGUCAGGGAGGGGAUUGUUGGUUUACUUAGAUUUACUGCCCAGCAGCAGUCUGAGAGCUUUUCCCUUUUUCCUACUUGCAUAAUUACCCUGCCUGACGUUCUUAUAACUAGAGGGAGAGCUGAGAAGGACAAUUUACAGUAGAAACUUUUAUAUAUAAAAAAAACCAUGUAGCGAUGCAAGCAAUGUUUUUGAUGCAAGAGUGAUGCAAGCAAUUUCUUUGGUUGGCUGUGUGAAUCAGAAGAGUGAAGUUUGCAGUUUCAUAUGAAAGGGGUUUGUUCAGAAAAUGAAAACAUUUGCAGGAAAAUAAAAUGCUGACCCCCCCCAACAUUUAGUUUAACCUGAAGUAAAAAUUGUGCUUACGCAGCAUUUUGGUUUUUAAGCUUUCUGGUAGAAAUACAACUAGAUCUACAGAUAAAACACAACAAAUACAGCUGAUUUUUACUAAAAAACAAGUGUUAGAACAAUCAAUUUUCAACUGCCUAGCUUUCAUGCACACACAGAUGAACAAGGCUUCGUGGCCUUUGUGUUAAGUUCAGUCUGCGUGUUGCCUUGAUAGGUCCACGUGCUCAGCCCCUGCAUGCCUGGUGUUUGUAGACAGCAAGUGCUAGAUUUGAAAAUAUCUUUUUUUUUUUCUUAAUCAGAAACAUGAGAUGAUUCUGAUGAACAGCUUUCUUAGGAGGUCAGUUGGAUCAUAACUGGGAAAUCGAAAAGUUGAAUAUUGUGGACUGAACAGUACUUAGAGUACACUUUUUUAAAUAUCUGUUUAGCUGCACAGAAAUGAAUUGGAAGGCCUCCAUUUAUACCUUGAUUACUAGGUAUGUAGCUAUGCUGUUUGAGUUAUGGAAAAAGACCAGAUAGUCUUGGCUAUGGAAUAUUCUGGGGGUAUGGUAAUGUGAUAAUUACCAGAUACCAAGGAGUAGUUUUGUGGGUUUUUUGUUUUUUUUGUUUUUUUUUUUUAAUAAAACCUUAUUAUUUGUGUGAGAAAAAGCAUGUGGAGGAACUCACUGUUUGGAAUGGUUCUCCUCAAGUUGCCAGUCUCUUCCUUUAAAUGUUGAUCAGCUGCUCUGGCUGCCUCAAUGAAAUUACUUCUGGAAGUACUUGAGAUGAUUCUCUAGUUCUCUAAACCUACAAAAUGUUUGAAUAUCUGUGUUGUUACACUUCAAAGCUAGCAGGAAAAAAAAAAUACAGUCUGUCUCUGCUGCGUGAUGAUCACCAUAUAGGCAAAGACUUCCUCAUUAAGGUUCAAGAUUAAAUCAGAGCUGCCGGUUUGCAGUAAUUGCAGUAAUUACAAACUUUCAGGUGACAUCAGAAGCAUGUUAACGUUUUGAAUGAUGAAGACUACCUGUUCUUGUGCAGGUCCAGCUCUUCCAAGCCAUUUUUCACUAAAUCCUGUUUUUGGACUUCAACAGAAAAGUAAGCGGAUUUGGGAUCUAAUGCAGCGAAGUAACAUUUCUGUUCUUAGUCCUGCAUUUACACUGUAGUAUUUGCUCUCCAAGGAAGAAUAAGCACAAUCUUUUAAAAUUGUAAAUUGUCUUUAGAAAAUUAUUACUCAGUUGUCAAUAAUCAGUCAAAUUCAUGAUGUGCCUUUUUUGAUGCUUUCACUCUAAAUUUUCGUAUUAGCGCAUGGGAACCAUGAAAAAUUCUACCUGGUAACAAAAAAAAAAGGCAUAUAGAAAUAAAAAUCACAUCCAGGCUUGUAUACUUUCUGAAUACUUUCUAUUGUUCUUUCAUGGUAUUCUGAGAAAAAUUAUUCAGUAAUAGUAAGUGCUUUUGCACCAUGAGAUAAUGAGCUCAUACAAUUUUAAAGAUUUGAAAAUUAUUUGGAAGGGAUAAGGACUAAAACUUUUGAAUUCUUUCAAAGCUUUCAAAGCUGUGUAGAUCCUAAAGCUGAGCAUGGCUGAGCAUACAUCUGGUUAAAUGCGUUUGGAAUUGGAAGUGAACUGCAGAAGAUGGUUAUUCACACUUUAUUUUUUUUUUCUAAAUCAGAGCAUUAAUCUUUCACAAAUUCAACCUUGUGUAAUCAAAAAGCUAAUGUUUAUGAUAUAGUUAAGUAGUAUGUCUAGUCCUGGACUCUUAGAACCAAUAACCAUGUGUCCUGUUGACUGUUUCUAGUAGAACAAAAGUGAUGAUGGGAAUAAUAUUUUUUAGCUGAAAACAUUACAGAAUGGUUCACUGACUUGAACUUUUUUUUGAUCAUAGUCUCUUUUUUUACACCAUGGAAAGAAACUAAUUUGAAUGUAGGCAAGUUUACAUUGUUACUUUCCUACCCAAACAAAGCCUUCUGCACCUUUGCAUCAUAGACAUUCUCUUCCGUUCCCUGUACUACUAAUACUGUUUUUAUUUUAUUUUAUUUUUAUUUAUUUAUUUUGCAAUAAUGACUUUCUCUUUGUAUACCUGAUUAGGUAUUAUUCUGUCCUGAACUGAAUCUACCUUCUGUUCACGGGAGAAACAUUUGUUCUUUGUAUUCUUACAUUAUGUCAAUUUUUUAGGAAGUAUAACAGUUAUAGUCUCUAUUAGGACAUCAGAGUAUGAAUAAUUCAUGCUGGCAUGCUUUACUUUGGUGUGCAUUUGGCUCAGUAGCACAUUUUAGUGAUAGUGAUGCUGAGGCUGUAAAUUUCACUAGUAGUUCAAGAAAAGCUGUUAUAUAUGGCUUUUAGAAUUCUUACUCUCAUUCAAUUUUAUUUAACUUCUGGUUGAGUACCUCAUCUGAGAUUUCACAACUUGUCUCCUUGCUGCAUUAGUCUGGUCCUUUCAGGUGCCAUUUCAGUGAUUCCCGGGAAGCUUUGCGGUGUACGUCAGAUUCUCAUAGCAAGAAAUUGGGUUCAGUUAAGUAUGAUAUUUGAAAUAAAGUGUAAAGACCUAGAGUGUCUUUAUUUUAAAAGAUAUUCUAUAUAUGUAAAAAAUAAUAUGCUAUUAUGCUUUUCUUGUGUUCCUUGGUGUGGACCCAUUUACUUAGGGUGGACUCCUUGGUUAAGAAUUUGCUUUUGCAGCAGUGCAAAGUUAUAAUCUAUUUGAGUACUGUGAAGUGAUACUCUAGGCUGAGUGAUUUAUCCUGGUAAACAAUGUUUUAAGUGGACCAGAGGCUAGAACAGUGGAAUGAUAAAUCAGCUGAUUCACUGACAUCGUUCCUGUGGCUAACUAUUAAUACUUUUGUGUUGGUCUACAUUGACUCCACUGGCAGCUAGAGACAGUUGCACUUGCAUUGACUUUUGGUUUCACUUUCUCUUUUUGUAGUCUGAUGAGAAAUACUGAAUACUAUGUAUAAGAGAUAAGAGCUAUACCAGGAGGUUGGUGUCUUCUGUCAGAAAUACGAAAUUUAGCUGUUAAAUAGCUGUUUGAACCUCUGAUCCAUGUUUUGUCAUACUCAUUUUUCCUGCCUACUGUGCUCAAGUUGCUCAUAAUGCCUUGUGUUUCAAACAAAAUGGAAAGCUUGUCUUUUUUUUUUUUUUUAAGAAAGAUUCUGUGAGAUGUUCUGUUAGGUAGAGUUGUUGAUGGAUGUAGGAAUUUCAAUUCUAUGCUUUUUCUGAAACCUUAGAAAUUCAAUGAAAUUAAUGAUUGAAUUUUAGACAUAGCCUUUUUAAUCUUUCAUUGUUUAUCUUGACUCUUGCUGACAGUUUUUUUUCUCAUAUUUGAGGCAUUUCAUCUGCCAUCCUGCAGAAAUCUUAAUUCAUCAGUGAUGCUUUUGAAACUCAGGAGCGUUACAGUAUAGUGUAGUUAAUAAUGACACCUUUCUAUUUUGUGGAUUUAAUACCUUUAUUGUAACCACUAGUAACUUAAUUUGUCAGGCAUGUAGCAUGACAUGAAAUCCAUCUGCCUUUUCAUUUGUCCAGAAAUUAAUAUUGCCAGUUGGAUUGAUUAGGAGCAUGCUGCAGUUCUUGAUGUCAUGUGUAAGAUCCGUGCAUGAAUCUAUCUUGCAGACUUGAAUGGCGUCUUGGAAGUCAGAGGGAGACAGCCUUGAUUUAUUUUAUUUUUUUUAUUUUUUUGCUCUUCCUCUAACUAACUAGUAUAUCUAAAGCAUAUUUUAAUUUUCUUUGCAUUUCCAACUGCUAGUAUGUGGAAUUACAGGUUGGGUAUGGAAGAACAUUAACCUGACCUUAAAUUUUUACAUUUGGAUAAUGAAGGCAAUAAUUAGUUUUGUGGCAUUCACCAUCUCACAAGGUGUAGAGAGAAAGCAUUGCAUCUACAGCAAAGGCCUUAGAUUUUCCCAGCGAAGGCAAUACAUAUGCCACGAGUCACUCUGUGCUUCUGCUAUCUCCCUGAGAGCAGAGGCUGUGCUGCUGGUUCCUCUUGCCUUGCCAUGCUCCCCCUACCUCUCCAGCUGCCUACCUGUGGCUCCUGAUCCCAUACUCCAAGCAGCUGGUCAACUCCUCUUUAGGGUCCUGUGCCAGCUUGGCUGCCUGGAGACUCAUGUCUAAUUCGUCAUUUCUGUUCCUCUUUUUUUCUACAAUAUUUUUCCUCCCACAGCAAUCAAAGUCCAAAUGAUGAUCUAUAUGAACCUGUUACUGACUAACCAAUGUUGAAUAUGAAAUAAAUUCUGUAGGAGAACCAAUAUAACAGUUAGCAGGUAAUGAUUUAUUUGUUAAUUGAAUACUUAUGAAAGUAACUUUGUAUUGGCGGUAAAGUGCCAGGAAGUGGAUAAAUAUUUUUGAUAUAUAACAUGUGAUGUUUGAAGUCAGCCACAUUGGCAAAAAGUGGGACAUCUUCAUGGCACCACAAUGAUACUUUCACUUCUUGCUAUGACAGAUAGGAAAGAAAAAUUCUGAGGAGGCAAGAUAAACAGGGAAUUUUACUGCAGCAUUGUACUGCAGUAUAAUUGUGAAGAAAAAUGUUGCAAAUGCAGUGUUAACUGGUAUUAUCUUUGAGUUAGUAUUCAUGAAGUUUAUAAUUAAUUUGGAUGAGUUUUUACUGUUGCAGCUGAAUUUUAACUUUACAGCAUUUUAGCAUGCUUUUUUUCUUUGACCUAAAUCAGUCUAAUUUUUUGUCUUCAUUAAAAUCACAGAACAAAACUGCUGUUGUAUUCUAGGCUUUGCUCAAGCAGAUCAAGGAACUUUGCAUUGCUAAACAAAGCUGUGUGCUUAGUCAUAUACAGAAAUGUUAGAACUCUGCUCGAUUAAGUGAGAUGAGUGUCUAGAUGAGGGAAAUGUUAACUGCUGUGCUUAAACCUGUUUGUAAAAUGGUCCAGUGGAGAAACAAAAGAGCAAAAAAACAAACUGAACGUGUAAUCAGACAUAAUAACAUUUAAGAUUGGAGAAGAGAAAAGCAUUUCACUUGUAGAUGUAAAGGAAAUAUUAUUAGAAUUCAGUGUCUUCAGGACAGUUCUUCAUUUAUGUUGGUUAGCAUUAAUAUUUGCAUUUCUAAGGAUUAUUUAAUAUAUAUGAAAGGUAUUUUUUUGAAACUGGGAGAGCAGUUCAAAAGAGCAUGGCUGUAGUUUUGAAGAUACCAUACAAUCAGCAUAUCCUAGUCUUGUGAUUGUUUUUCUAUUUUAAACAGAAGAAGGAUACUUUUUAAAAUGCUCUAAGAAAUAACAGGACACCCUUUGUGAUGCCAUAACCCAUUCAAGACAAUUGCUCAUGAUGUUAUUAGAUUCCUUUGGGUCAUUUCUAUACAUUUUUAUCUAUUUACACUCUUUUAAGGACAUGCUUUUGAUUAAAAAUGGAGUGGAACUUUUUCCCACUGAAAUCAGAGGUCCUUGAUAUAUCAGCAGGACAUCUCUGGGGGCACUGGCAGCUGUAGAAGCUUUCACUCCUUGCGGAUGCUCCAUAACUCUAACUGAAAGAAGCUGACCUUUCAGUCUCAUGGGCAUGUCACUCAGCCCAUAAAGCUUCUCUGAGUUAACUGUGAUCCUGAAGGCCUCAUAAUACUAAACCAGGAGGAAACGCCUGCCUGCUAAGAGAGGUAGUCCCCAAUUCUUUUUGUGAGGUUAAUGAGCCAGGAUUCUAGGUGAAUGACUAAUAUCAAGAUUUGAGUGGUUUUUGUCAGCAAUGUGAAACAAAUGGGAGGAACAGUAUGAAGUAGUUUUGAAGGCUUCAGAAUAGAGCAUAUCCCAUGAACUAUGGUGCCGUUGCAAUGAUGCAGGGUGCUUGGAGAUCUUCUAGUCUCCUAAGACAUGCAUGGAAUUUUGGCUCAUGUCUUUUUUUCUUCAAGAUGCAACACUUAGAUCUUUCUGUAUAUGGGAGUUAUCAGUAACAUGUUUCAAACAUCUGUAAUAAUAAGCUCAGUGGGUUUUUUCUGUCUUCAAGACUCAAUUUUGCACCUUUUUGUGAAGUCUGGAUCUUAAUACUCUGAAUCUACAACCCACAAUCAGAUGUUUCUCCAUCAUCUACCUAUAGAAUUUUUCAGAAAUAUCUCUAGCUGCCAAGCAGCUUCUGGUUUUUGUUUGUGACCCUCUAGAAAUAAAGCUAUGGACAAAAAAUAUCACUGAAACUUUACAUUUAGUGAACAUCUGAAUGGAAAAUUGAACAAUUGCUCAUUCAGGAUCUUGCUGCAAAGAGAAGACAUUGACAAACUAGAAGUCCUGCUGUUGGUGCCUUUUCUCCUGUCUGGAUUGAUUUCUGUGGAUUGAGUUAUGGAGGUAGAGAGUUCUCUCCAUAUCCAGAAGUAUUUUCUACACAAAUUUAGUGAAGAUCUAACUCCAGACUGAACUUUCAGGUAUGAUGUGUGCAUGCACAAGACCAAAGAAAUUCCAUGAGGUGGACUUCUUUUUUUUUCUGAAGGUAGGUGAAAAGAAGGGAAGGUCUGUUCAUCCUAUUUCAAGAUUGUUUUGUCACAUCUUUAUUCCACAGUGAGGAAUGUGUUUUUGCUCAUACAGUUUUAAACUGGUGACCCAAAUAAGAAGAGGUGCAUAUCUUCUUGUGAUACCUUAGUCACCCAAACUCCUUCUCAUUGCUUUUGCUAUUUUCUUAGACAUUUUCCACCUGCCUUCCUGACAUCUCCUGGCUUUAGCCAUUUUGGAGACAUGUUGUUUUUCAGUGUGGCAGGGUUUCAAGUGUGCUAAUGAUCAUGUUGCCUGAUUUUAAAUUUGGCAGCACUAUUUCAAAAGUAAGUGUAAUGUAUUUUGUAUGUGUGUUAUGCUUUCUAUAUUUUUUUAAUUCUGAAUUGUCUGAUGGCUUUGUCAUUUUCCAGAUCUUAAAUUUUCCAUGCACAGAAAUAGAUAUUUUAGUAUCAGUUCUAAGGUCCCUGGAGGUUUUCUAGAGUUAUCUAAGUAAAGUCACAGCUGACGUUAUCUCUUGUUUGCAGUCACCCUUACAGGCUAGUCUGGAUGACCCCAGAGCUUUCUCCCACCCAUCAUUUCUACAAUUCAUUAUGUAUUAGUCAUGUAUUUUCUGUGUAUCAAAGGAGUCUUUAUCUUUGGAUGCAUUCUAUGAAUUCUUAACAAGCUUGUGACGCUGGGGGAAGUCAUUUUCUGUUGCUCAUCAGCAGGUUGAGACGCACAAAUGAUGCAUACUCCUGUUUGUGGCAGAGAAUGCCUUGUUGACGUCUCAUGUACUGUUAGUAAAAGUCUGAGUCCUUCUGUUGCUGGUGUAUCUUUCCCUCUGGGGAGAAGCCUUCCAUCUCACUGUGAUGGAGGAUACCUGAGCAAUUGUACCUUCAGAUUAUCUUUAGUGGUUGUCUGAAAAUCAUCACUUUUGGCACACAGGUCUGUGAAGGCAAGCUUUGAUCAGGUAGAUAAAUAGCAGAGAGGAAGAAGUUAUGCUGCUGGAAAGCAGUUGGAAUCACUGGACAGUAUGUGCAGCACUUAACUCACUGAGGUUUCUCUUAUUUUAUGCUGGUUGCAAUAUUGUCAAAGCAGCACAGUUAUUUGAGACUGGUGGAUAUGACCUGGACUCUUGCUGUUUGGUUAUGAAGAAGUCAGUAGAACUGCAGAUGCGCUGUAUGUAGUGCUUUAUUUGUUGAGCUGAGGUGUGCUGUGACAUUGGAGCUGCCUUUGACAGACCCUGUAACCACACACUUUCACAGGAUAAGAGUUAAAUAAAUUAGCAGUAGAUAAUGGGAACAUGGGCAUCAACUGGGGAAUUGCAAAGGCUGUUUUAUGAGCUGAGGAUAAAAGAUGAAUAAAAUUUGAAAUGUAUUUUAGCUAAGUGAGAGACAGAUGGAAGAAAUAUACAAAUUUUGGGAGUGUGAAGGCUCACCCUGGAAAAUGCAGUUCUGUUGAAAUCAAAAUACUUCAUAAAACCAAGUCAACUGCAGUAGACUUCUGCUUCAAAAAACAAAAGAAAUAAGACUGCCAGACAGAGCAUGUUUUAAUGCUUUGAAAUACUUUUUUUAAUCUUUGUUUUGAAAUGAUUCCUUCAAUUCAUUUUUAUCUAUUCUGAUUUCUGUAGAAAUAAAUGUAAACAGAAAAUAAACAGAAGAGCCAUGGAAUUUCCCUUCCAAGAUUAUCUGAGGUGUUUCAGUUCUGCUCUAAAUUGGAGCAAAGCCAGAGUAUAAAAUCCUUGGAAAUUGAUAUCAUCCAUUCAGUUCCCAGGGGGCCCUAGUAGGACACGUGUUCAGAAUUGGACUUCAGCUACUAUCUCUUGAGAUGCAGAAGCACCGACUGCCAGUAGCCAUACUGCAGCUCAUUUGCUUUGCUCUCCAGAUUGCAAAGGACUGAAUGUGCAAGUGGUUUUGACAUCUUGCUGUGCCUGAUGUCCAGCCUCAGUGGUGCUGCUUCUACUGUCACACUGCACUGAGAAGUAGCAGCCUUACUCUUUGUCUGUACGUGUGCUGCACCUCAUGUCUUUCAGGAUCAAAACAAUUGCAGGGGGAAAUCUUGAAUUGACACCUUCUGGAGAUGGUGUAAGAGAUUUAGUGAAGCUGAUCUUUGUCUUCCUUUUUCUGAUAUGUCUUACAGGGAACAGCUCAGUUCUGCAAUGGGCAACUCACUAAUUGUUUUAUGCCGUUCAGAGAUUUUCUGGUGUUUUUACAUACAGGCUUCUGUGAUACAGUUUGAUGUUUGAGUGCGUGAGGUGUCCUUUGGUGCUGAAGAAGUUACUACUCUUGUAGGAAUUCAUGCAAAAUGUUUCUUGGAAAUAUGGUUGCUGUCACUAUGUACUGCACACUGUCCUUUUGGUAGACUUUUUUUUUGCUAGAUUUAUAGUAGGUUUGUUUCUUAACAGACAGAUUGUCCUUCAGUAUGUCUUCUAGUUAGGAUAUUUAAAGAAAUAUGUAGAUAGAACCUCAUCAGAAAGUGAAACAGUUGAACAAUCUUUUGAAAUGAGCAUCAAAACUUGAGAAUAAAAGCUUGUAGCUUUCAUUCUGGUUCUUGCAAAGUGACCUUUGAAUUCACCAUGUAGGAGAAACUGUAUGUUGUGGAUUUUUUUUGUCCACUUUGCUGCAGUGCUGCUGUCACUAUUGUGAAAUGUGUGUUCAGACCUUUUUCUUUCAGGCCUGCAUGUCAGUCCCACAGUGAAUAAUUGCCUGCAUAUGGUAGCAUGGGAAGAAGACAUGAUUUAAACAUUUGCAAGGAACAUUCUGGUUUGCAGAGCUUCAGCAAAUAGCUACUUUGUGUGUUUUUUCAAACCAGCCUAUGAGUUUGUUGUCUUCAGACAUUGUAACCUUUAAGCUAGUAAAUAGAAAUUACUGGGUAAUGUGAAGAUAUCAUAUGGUAUUUUCAAGUGCUAUUCAAGAGCAUUGUAUGCAUUCAAGAGUAAUGGACAAUUUGUUCUUGUAAUUAGAGGAACUGGGUACUCCAGUUACCACCUACCUUUUCAGUACAUGCCUCACUAGGAAUUGGAUCUCAAUUUGUCUCUGCCAAAUUUUGUUUCAUUCCCUGUGAAACCAACUUAGUUGUGUGCUAGAGGUAAUGCCACUCUCAUCUGCAUGACAGUUGGGUGACAGGAGCAGAUUGAGAGAGGGUGCCCAGAAAAUUUUUGAAUUUCUUCUGCUGUGUGAAAUGGAGGUCAAUGAGUUUCAUCUUUUUAAGGUAUUAUCCAGCAAAAACUUAUAAAGUUGUGUUUUGUGCCACUUAUACAAGGAUUCACCAUGUACAGCUGUGUACUGUACCACUUUUGCUGGGAUUCACCGUUUCAAAUAAGUCUUCUUAUCACAAAACAUAAAAGGGAAUCUUGCAUUAUUUGGGUUAAAUGUUUUGAGAAGAUGGAAGUGCUUUUAAAAUUCAAAUAAAUUACUUGGAGAUGGGGGAGCAAAAUAAAGAGUUAGCAUUUUUAUACGCAUGGAGGGAGUCUACUUAAAGGCUAUUGCAUCUUUAACAGCUAAUGAGCACUUAGCACUUACCACUUAACGUGGCAAUUUGCAAAAGUUACGAAGGCAUUGCACUCAAAGUCACAAUUAGUACUAAAACUGUAAAUAGCACAAAAUCUGGAGCUGUAUUCAAAAUGAGACAUAACUCGAGGGAAAAAAUAUAUAUAUUUUAAAUACAACCAAGGUUCAGCUGGAUAUGAAAGAAAAAGCAUUAUGUACAGAAAGUGACUAAUUUACGCAAUAUCUCUUGAGUGGAUUGCCUGCAUGCAUCAUACAAGCUACAUUUUGUCAAACUUCCUCUUUUGGUUCAUGACAAAGAGUUUUUCUAAUAGUAAAUGAGAAGGAGGAGCCAGAAACCUAUGUCAUUCUGAGGAGAAAGGUUAUGAACUCAGCUUCACUUACAAAAGAGACUGGUAUAAUACCAAGAUGAAGGCCAUUAAAGUUUAUUAGAUUUGUCUAAUAAUAUCAGCCAGAAAUAGUUCAAAACAUAUAUGGAUUAUUUAUGAUAUAUCUAAAAUCUGAAGUUAGUUUGCUUUCAAAUCCCCCUAGUGAGAAGUAGUCCUUUAUGAUGAUUUCAUAGAGCUUGCCAUUAGAUGGCUAGACUGAUUGUAUUUCAAAGCACUUGAGAUAUUUAUUUCAUACAGCAGCAGGAAGCAGAGUGUGUUCUUGUGACACUUCUGCACUCAUGAAAAAAAGUUUUGUUUUUCAAUAUGUAAAUUUUGAAUUUGCAAAAUAUAUGUAGAAGAGCUGUAAUAAGAACCUAGAACAUCCAGUUCAAUGCUUAGUUCAUAGAAAUGCGGGCUAGCCUAUCUAAAGCAGAUUAGCAUGAAUGUCUGUCUGGGCUGGCCACAGACCCAGUGUUUAUCUCUCUUGGGAACAAGGCCUAGAGCUGCUGGGAGCUAUGCAGAAAUAGUCUCUGUUGGUCUUCUGGUCCUGAUUUUAAAAUCCUUCUCAGAACAAGCUCAGGUUAUUCAAGGUAACUUGCUUUCUGAAUGGUUAUAGCCUUUCCUCAAGACAUAUUCUGUAAAUCCAUCAUACAAGUAGGCCGAGGCCGCAUUUUCUUUUCUGCGUGUAGGUUUCAAGUACUGCUCACAAUUGCUCAGGGUGCCUGGCUUUCAGGCAGAUGCUUACUCAGGUGUAAUCUUGCUGCAGGCACACAAACAUCAUUGGAAGAUAGAGUGUGGGGGUGGAGAUAAAUAUUUGAUUUAGAUGUUCUCAAACAUUUCAGAAAGCAAUUACAUCACGGCAUUUUGACCAGGUAGGGACACAGAAAAACACGUACUGUCUUGGCAAUUGAAGAAUUUCAUUUUUGCACCUAUAUGUCCUGCAUCUUUUGCUGAUAUUUUCCAUGAGUCACUUAAUUGCUGCCUCACACAAGCCUUUGUAGUGCAAGCUGGAGCAGUGCAGCAAUCCUGAAGUCCAUGGUAAGCAAAGAGAGCAUGCUGAGAGGUUAUAGUAGUCCAGAUAAUGACUGGUCUCCUAAAACCCUUGGCAUGCCCCCUGAGUCUGUCAGGGAUUCCUUCAGCAUUUUGCUUCUCUUUAGCACCCUUAGACAAAUCAGCCAUUGUACUCAGUAAGAAGGAUUCAUUGGGCCUUUCUGAAGACCAGGCAGUCUUUCACUGCUGUUUUUGUGCUACAGAAGUCCUAAAAGAAAUGUUCAAAAUGUGUUGAUUCAGUUUUUUCUUUUUUUCCUUGAAAACAUCCAGAAAGUUUUUAUUUGUUUAAGUAUAUUUAUCUAGAUAAUCAAAUGGGCAGAAACCCAGCUUUCUGUCAGGGACAUUUGCAGUUCAGUGGCCCAUCCAGGAAGAAAGUAGGAGAGUAUGAUGACAGGUUUACUGGAAUGUGUGCCUUCAAAUUGCAAGUGACACAGUUAUUCACAUGGUGCUUCCAGAGAGUCUAUCCUGUAGUACCAUCUUUUUUGGUGCUUGUAACCUAAGCUACAGAUAAACUACUUGUCUUUUGUGUGGCAAGGACAGAGACUGUAAUGGGGGAUUAGAUAUCUUGUGCUGCUUUUAACGUUUAAAUAUCACAGUAAAAGUAAUAUAUCUUGCUGAUUUUUGCGUAAAUUUGAAUAUCCUACUUUAUUUACAUUCAGUGGUGCCCACAAAUCAGUGCUAUUCAAUUGAUGGGUUGACAGGACUAUGAUUCUCUGAAUUAAGAUGAGUCAUUAUUGGAUGGAGAGUCAGCAGUCUUUAUGGAAAGAGUAAUUUUUUUGUUCUCAAAUUCAAUUAAUAAAGACAAUAUUGAAUUAAUUAAAGGACAGACAUACUGUUCCUUGAAUAGGAUGGAAUUUAGUUCUUAUUUCACUUUUUUGUAUUUAUGAAGCAAAGAAUUUGCCAGAAUAUCAGGUUGAAGUUUUACCUGAUGUGCUUAAGGCAGUAGCAGGUUAGAUUGUUUUUAGUAACAGUUGGAUGAGAUUUAUUUGUGUUCUGAGUAUCAGACUCUCUAGCUGUUGAGCUACUGGUUUGAAUUUUUUUAAAGAUUCUUUUGUAGAUGGGAGUGUUACUGAUACAACUUGUCAAUUCUAAUACAACUAGACACAAAAAAACAAGUAGGGAAUUCAAACAGUUGCUUUAACAAUAAACACUUCCAAAAGAAUAAUGCAUAGAUGAGUUGUAAUUGUAUUUAAAAAAAAAAAAAAUCAUGAAAUGUAAAUGAAAUGCAUCCAACAUCUGGGAAGGAAAAACGCUGCCUUAUGUAACAAAAAGACUCAUAAAAACAGACAAUUAUUUGAGAUCCUUGAACUUACUUUUGCUUUACAAAGAGAUGACCGUUCUUCACAGAAGAACAGGAGUUCUUGUAGUUCUGUUUAUGAAAGUCUCAACUUUGGAAACUGUACAUAAUUGGAAGCCUGUGCCACCAAGUAUAGAUGUGAUGUGCACAUAUUUUAUUAAAAUGCAGUGGUUUACUCAUGUCUUGUUUUUAUUAUUUGCUUAUUUCAGCUUGUAUCAUUUAUACAGUCUACACAAUAGUUGUUUGUAAGGAGCAUUGUAGAGUACUGAUGACUUUAUAUGUAGUCUAGAUGAAGAGGACUACAAAAUGACGAGAUAGAGAAUGAGAUAACAUAGUAAACCUGACCUAUUGUUUAUCAUCAGUUUGGAGAGGUGUUUUUUUCAACUGUGGUCAGCUAAGUUUGUUGUCUUCUAACUUAUAUCCUUCAUUUUUUAAACUGAUGACUUUUUGUACAAACCAAAGGGCUGAAUCAGUCCUACCUUAAUUUUUAUCACUUUCUGCACAUGUUUCUGUUGCUGUUACAGUAAAUCUCUGCCCUUGUGAUCUGUCAUGCUAGAGGUUAUCUUUUCUAGCUUCUGGGAUUUCAAAGCUUGUUGUUGUCUUCAUUCAUGAUUCAGAGGAUGGUGGAGCUUGAGGCAGUGAACAGAGCUCUUUCAUAACCGGCCAUCUGUGAUGAAUUGCUGAGAAGGGAGAUGCACACAAUCUACUACCAUCAUGGGUGGAUAAAUACAAGUAAUGGUGAAUAGGGAUUACACAGUCAAUUUUUUUUUUUUUUUUGGCCUGACCUGUGCAAUAGGGCUGCUUUUGUUGUUACUGAAGAAUCCUCAGAGAAAGAUAUUUCCCUGGCUGACAUGCCCUGUUCUUCAUUUCCAGGCAGCUUUGCAACUGUUUCCAAGCUGGUGAGUCCCCAUGGAGUAUAGUUCAUUUGCUCUCCUGUUCCUUUGAAAAUAGGGACCCUAAAUCUGUAUUGCCUAAACAAAUACACUUGUUUGUAAGAAGCAUUUCUAAAUGCAAUCAUUGCUGCAUUCUGCAGCUACAGUAGUGAUGAGGUUUAAUUGUCCUUCUUAUUUUAAGAGCCUUUUGGAAAUCUGAAAUUGAGUUCUUUCUUUUUAAGGCAAACUCCUGAAUCUCUUGUUUAAAAAAAAAAAAAAAAAAAGCAGUUUGCAUUGAAGUAAUUCUUGAGGGGGGAAAAAACAACAAAAACCCAACACUUUUAAAGACCUUCCAAUACAUCUUUCUGCAAAGGAACUUUUUUUUCAUGUUAUCUUAUUCUCAGGUACUUGUAGAUCAGUUGCACUUAUGCUUUAUGUAUUCUGAUAGAAAAAAAUUUAAAAAGGCAUGUUAAAAACUUUUUUUCUUCCUCGCUGUGUAUUUGGCUACUUAUCAUCAACAUUUUCUAAUCAGUGUGCUAUUUUCUAACUAGUUGAUGUACACCAGUUUGUAGAAGUGGAAAGGAUGGCCUCAUGCAGUAUCCAUCUGAGUUAGCUAGUACCUUUCUUGUUAGGUUUAGAACAGUCAUCCUGGGAUUGCUUUGAAUUUUCAACAACCAUUUCCUUUGUAUUCCAAACAUAGCUGUGAUGCUCACUCACAUGAAAAAGAUGUUUUGAUCAGUCUGGCUCCACUCACAGGUGGAGCAUAAAGGUAGCUCUAGAAGCAGAUCAGGGAUUCUUUCAGGACAGUCUCUUCAGGUUGGAUCAUUAUAGUAGUUCUGCUCCUACAGUGAAAAUCUUGAUCCUGUCUAAAAGUUUUGUUUCUUCUAAUCAUCCUGGGAUGAUGCAGUCAGAACUGUUCUUGAUUAAUGCUGCUGGCUUGCCACUGAGGCUUAUAGUAAACAUUUUUCUCCCCAGGUCUGUAGGCUUUUGUAGUGAAUUAAAGUGAUCUGAACUUCCUCUCAGUGAAUGCCCACCAAUAUCUUCCUUUCACAGAUGUACUUAGCAGAAAGCAAUACAACAUAGCUAAUAAGACCACAUGGUGCUACCUUGUCCACUGAGAACAACUGCUUGUUGCCAUCAAGGCACGGCUUUACUUUAACUGCAAGCUUUGAAUAUUAGAGAUAGUAAGCAUAAUGGUAUUAGAGCCUUUUUUUAUAUCUGUGAGAUCUUGUGUAUACACUACUGAAUACUGAUGGCUGCAGUUGUCAUGCUGUUUUACAUAAAUUUUAAAACUGCAUAUGAUGCUAAAUAUAAACUAUUUGGAGGUUCACAAAUGUAGCCCUGUAAGAAUAUGACGGUACUUCUCAUGUCUGUGAAGGCUGGAUUAUUUCUUUGACAUUUCUUUUCAGCUGACAGAUUCAGACAUUUCCCAGUUGAAUUUGAGAGGGCUGAUGCACAUCACUUAGUCUAAAUGUGUAAUAUAAGUUACUGUAAAGCUAUUUGCUCUGAAGGCUUCAGACUUCAUAGGAUAUACACAAAUAACUGUACAGAACCUGAAUCCACUCUCUAAGUUAAGCUGUAUGCUUCUGUGCAUCUGGCUAUAUAUGUAGUGCAAAAGUUCUAUACUUAUGAACCAUUCCCUAACAUUCCUGUGGUGCACAUUUGAUAUGAGACUACUGCUCAUGCCUUGAUAGGCAGUGACUCAACUGAGAGACUUCUGUUCAUUUCUACGGACUUUUGCUCGGGCAGGAGCUGUCUGGACUUUUCCUCAUAGUGGUGGUAGACAUCUCAUAAUUUGAGAACAAGAUCAGGUCUUACAGGAUGUUAUACAGUAUCUGAGGGACUGUUAAAGUAUGCAGAGUAGAACUGAUUGGAUAUUAUCCUGAAUACAGCAAAGGAAAAAAAAAGUGUUGCAUUGAAUUCACAGUAAUAAAGGAGAUGUUAUGUUAGUAGGCAAAUAUAUUGGAGAAAAGGAUUUUAUAAACAGGUAAAUCCUCCAGAGAAAUUGUUUCAUGAGGAAAAAAACAGUGCUGGAAAACCUGAAGAAUCUAAGAAGGGUGAUGACAGAAAGGAAAGCCUUUUUUCCUUCUUUUCCCCAUUUAUUCUUACUAGAGAGAGACACUGAAUUAUAUGCCUCUUGACACUUUCAGGAAUUGUCUUACUGACCAAAUGGCCUACAGAAAGCUUUACUAGUAAAAGAAACUGAUCAAUAGGAUGAGAUAUUAAAAAGGGAAAAUGUCCCCUGCAUGCUUUGAGCAGCACUGUCAACUCUAUUGAAUUUAUGAUCUAAAGGAAAUUAAACACCGACAGCAUCACCGGUAAAGAUAAGCAUAUAUUGUUUAGGGUUAUUGAUUUGCCCAAGUUUUAAAAUCAAGCUAUGUUUACAUUAGUAUCUCAUAUCUUUAUCUAGUGACUCUUGGUAAGUAACUAUAGAUAAUGAUGGCAAACAAAAAUUGCUUUUAUAAAUUACAGUUGUGCUUGUUACAUUUUAAGCUCUGGAUUUGCGAAUGUUUUGCCUACUCUCCUGGCAGAGCUCAUUACGCGUGUGUGGUAUUUUGUUUGGAUAACAUAAUUGUAUCAUCCAUUUAUGCACGUGUUUACAGAGUUCUAGAAAGGAAAUUAGAAAUGCUGGAGCAGUUUUCUGUCCAGCAGAUUGGGAACUAGGUGCCUAUGGUAGACUCUACAUUCAUAAUUAAGCAUCUAGAUUCAUGGAACUAUUUACAAAGAUGACAGAUUCCCGAGAGUUCUUUUAUUUGUUGUAGGUAUACUGAUCUUAAAAUGAGGCACCAAAUCAUGGUCUCUGCAGCUCAAAUAGGUCAUUUUUCUUAACUUUUCAGCUUCCCUAGAGUUGCAGAUUCUUUCGAGCUUGAGGCAUAACCGCAUUGACUGAGACUUUUUGGUUUGCUUCUGUUUUAAAUCAUGUAGUAGGAAAAGGCUGGUGGCAGAUCAGUAUCCUUUCCUUUCAGUGAUAUCAAAGACCAUUUGCCUUUUGGGAGUUAUCUCACUGGCAUGUUGGAGGGAGGCUCAAAGAUCACAAGGGCUAGAAGUCCUUUACAGAAGCUGUCCCACAAGACUGGUGGUGAUCAGCAGGAAUUGUGUUGCAAGGAAAGUGAUGUUCUAAUAUAUAUACAAAAAGAAGAGCGUUACUGCUGUCUACAUGCGGGUUAUUUCUGUGGUGAUUGUAAAGAAACUCCACACAAAAUGCUAUGAAUCUUCUGGACGAGUCUGUAGAGGAAUGUUAUUUAUCAAUCUAAACUGAAGUUAAUAUAGAAAUUCUCCAGCAUGGCUGUCACAUUUACUGUAGAUAUUGUUAACACACUGCUGUCUUUAUGCUAUUUAUAUGAAAAUGGAGGAGGGAAACAUCAAGUUUUUGGAUUUUUUUUUUUGCUUUUUUUUUUUUAAAUGAGGAACCAGGGAAAGCAAAAGUCAUUUUCUGAAAACUGCAAGAUGCAUCUGCUGAGCAAAGAACAUCUCUUUUGAGAUGCAGACUGAUGACACACAUCUCUUCUCCUUUCCUUUGUUUGAAGUCCUCUAUUGAGGUCCUGGUCAGACAUAACUUUUCCUUACUUUUGCGAAAGGAAAAGAUUAAAGUCUGUGUUGGGUUAGUAUGUUUCCUUGGUGCUGAUUUUUUUCUUUUUUUUUUUUAAUCUGUAUUGCUUGAAGCAUCUUGAGCUGACACAACAGAAGGAAGAAGAAAAUCCAGGUCAAUUGUAUAGUAUCACAGAGCUUGUCAAGAGGAAAGAAAAAACCAAAAUCAUAAACACAGUGUAUGAAUACGUUUUCCUUAGAAACUAUAACAGAAAAUAAGAAUUUAAGAAUCUUUUUUUUCCUUUUGCCCCUUUUUAUCAGAGGCAUUUGCUGGCUUUAUCAGUAUUUUACAAACAAAAUUACAAGCAUCCAAAUAAGAAUACAGAUCAAAUGUAGUCAGUACAGAGUGGAAAAGGAGAGUAAGUAGACCUUCCUUUUGUCUGCUUCUCCCCCUCCCGCCGCUGCCAUGCUUUCAAAUACCCAUCAGUUAAAGUUUUGGCUAACAAAAUAAGUCAGAGAUAAGAUUAAGUAGGAAAAAGCAUUCUUCAUUCCUGCCUUGAAGGGUGGUGAAGGCUUGUUAUGAAAGGUGAAUGCCAUCACUGUAAUGCAGGUGCAAGCAUCUUUGUAGCUCUUUCCUGCUAAUAGAUAGUAGCUGUGGUAGCCCUGCCAACCCUCUAUUUGCAUGCUGCAGUCUUCAAGGAAAGGCAUUCUGUCUGGAAAAUGUAGGUUGUUGAAGAGAAGUCUAAUUUUCAUGUUUCUAGUGGCUGCUUGCUAUAGUAGCACCUAAUCAUUGGAAAGAUAAGUCUUGGAUGGCCAGGGUAUGAAACGUACUAGUGAUGGAGAAAAUUGAUAUCCUACACAUGAAUGCAUCACAAAAGGGAUUUCUGAAAAUAUUCAGACAAAGAAGGUUUUCUGGAAAAUCAGAGUCAGAUAUUCAGAUAGAUUGGUGAUCACUGAGUUUGCACAGUAUAGGAAUAUAGAAGAUGAACCUCUAAAAAUUUACUGGUUUGCAACUGUUUAGUUGCGAACAGUCAAAUUGUAAGGCUUUUAAGUACAUAAAGGAACAGAGAAAAACAGCUAAAGAUGUUUGUGAAAGGCUUUAUCUUCUAUUAGUUGAUGCCCCAGGUGGUCCCUAGUUUUAAAUUCUUGUUGUGUUUUUAUUAUUUGUGUACCAUAUCAUAGCAUUUGAAGUGUGUUAAUAGAAUUAGUUCUUAGCAAAAUUCUCCCAAAACACUAGCCCUUUUUAAAAAAAAAAAAAAAGAGUAUAGGCUUUUUCUGUUCAUUUUGCUUUUAUCUUGAAGACAGCAUAUGGGUAAUCAUAACAUAGUUUUAGCAAACACUAGAAUCUGUUUAUAGAAUUCAUUCAGUACUAGCAACUUGAGGGUUUAUGCUUUUCUGUGUCAUGAUUGUGGUCUACUAAAUUUCCAGGAAAUAUAAGAACAUAAUUCAGGUUCUUUUUGAGUGUGUUCUACUGAUAUGUCCCAUCCAUGGUCUGCAAGCAUUUUACCUACUGUUUCUAUUGACAAAACAAUUUGGUUUGGAUCAUGGCUAAAGUAUCAAUAGUAGCAGACCAUAUGUGUUACGUGCCACACAAAAAAGUUGGUUUAUUCAUCAGCUGGAAGGUGUUAGAAGAUCCAGCAGACCGUUUUAUCUGGUUAUUGCUUGGUCUUUUGCCUUGCACUUUUUCAUAGGUCAGAGUCUCUAAAUGAUUAUUUACUGUUGAUUUUUGUUGUUGUUUGUUUCUAAACUAAAUAUUAUCUUUAUAUCUUAUAUAUAAAUAUAUAUAUAUAAAUAUAAUCUUUAUACUUUUUUCUCCUUUUUUUAUUUCAUUUUUUCCCCUUCUUCCUAAAUGCUUUUUUUAAUAUAUUUUGGAAGUAAGCAAGCAUUUGUUCAGGAACUAUGUUAACCUAAUAGCAAUGCUGUAUACUCCACUUUUUUACUACAUUCUGACGCACGGAGCUCUGUUAGCUUAAACCACAUUAUGAAAUAAUGUUAGUAGAUCAAAAAGACUUAAUUUAGCCUAAGAUAAUUGUUGCAAUUUCACUUAAAGCUAUGUCAAAAAAGGGAAGUAAUUUGUUACUGUUGUUAUCUUUUAGAUAAUGUGAUCCCGUGCUCAACAUUUAAGACAGAGAACUCAAUUUAUGAAACUGUUUUCUGUUAAAAUGUUUAAUAAUUAGAAAAAUGAUACUCAUUCCCUUGGGAUGUCAGUAACAUCUGAUUUAGCAUCUAUUAUGAGAAUUUAGAGCAUUCAGAUUUCAAAGCAGCUGUUCCAAGAUUUCUGCAAAUUCAAAUGGUCAUCACUUGGCUGGCAUAGAGGGGGUAUGAUUUAAAAUGUAUUUAAUUUUCUUUAUACCAUGCAACAAGAAGACCUAUCUGUGCUCCAGCUAGUCUUUCACCUACUUGCCCCCAUAAUGGUCUGGAGUGUUUUUUCUUCCUGGAACAAGCUGAACAAGGCCUUGUCAUAAACUGUAUUUCAAUAUGAGGUUAAGAAGGAAAGUAAUUUAAUAUUCCUAAGAAAAGUUGUAAGAUGGGUAGAUAAAAUGAAAAGCCAGUAAAAAAAUUUACAGAGAUAGCCUGGGCCUUAGAUGCAUAUUCUACUAGAUUGAUGCUGAUUUAGGAGGCAUUCCUACUUAUUUUGCUAUAUUUGGAAGAGAUCCACAAAAUUACCAAGGGACAGCAAUCUGAUUCUGAAUUAGACGUGUCCAGUAAGAUAACACCCAAAUGUAUCACAAGCAAGAUUAGCUAACAUUACUCUUUGUGACAUGCAGUGGAACAGAUUCUCUGACUCAAUGUGUUAUCUUGUAAAAGAAACAUUGAGAAUAAUGACAGAUAAUAUUGUCUGUCCUGAAAUUCAAAAGCUUGUUUUCUAACAGUGUAAAGGCUGAAUACUGAAUACUCUCUUUGUUGUAUGCAUUGAAGAGCAGAAGUUAAGGGAAGUAAGGAAAUACAACAGAGUCAAAAAAGCUACCUUCAGAGGUUUCCUUCGUGGCCAGUGACCGGAGAGCUAUGAUAAAAGAUCCUCUUUUGAGUUCAGUAUCCAACCAGAAAAUUUCAAAGAAAAAGCACACUAGCUCAGACAGAAAUACUUUGUCUCUGUUCUUUUUACAACCCAACGUUGGCAUAAUAGGAAGAAGAAAAUAACAUCAUUGUAAUUAAAUAUGUUGUUGUUUUUUUAAUUUAACUGAAUCAAACUAGAUUUUAUAAACACAUUCAGUUCAUGCCGAACAUCUUAUUGUGUCUGUUAUUUUUCCUCAUUAUUUCUGUGCUACCAUUUCCCUGUCUGUAGCUUCUGUAAAGGUUCUACAUUCUGUUUGUUCUCCCACCUUACUGUUGAAAACACUGGUGCUUUAAGUCCUGUAAAUCAAUACAGUAUCGCUAUGCUUCACCAUUUUUUUCUUUGAUGCUCAUUGUAACUUCAGCUUUCUUUAGAUAUUUACCCAGCUCUAUUACAAAAUUAAAAAAAAAAAAAGGCUUGAAAAACUAAUUCCAUGUGUAUUACCAAAAUGACUACAAAAGUAUCCGAUAUUUUUAAUGCUUUUUGAAGUCUAGAAUUUCUUUUAGUUUGAGAAAUCUUCUCUUUCUGUUUGCUACUUUGGAAGUGUUACUUAAUGUCAAAGUGAAUGCAUGUGAAUGGUUGUGAUGUGGCUCCUGUAUCUAGAAACUCCAAGGUUCAUGGCAUUCUUGUUUUGUGUUGUGGCUUACUUGUGCUGUGUAGUUGUAGCAGUACUUUGGUGAGGCAUAUAGUCCAGGAAAACAGCCAGAAGUGUUUUCAGAAACUGGAUUCAUAGGAAUAAUCUCUUCUUCUGUCCAAUCACUAUUUUCCGUAGCAACUCUUGGAAGAGAGCAAAGCUAUGGAAGAGUGGAAGUCUGUCUCUGUCUCUGUCUCUCCCUCUCCCCUCUCUUUCUCUCUCUUCCUCUCACUUUGGGAGAAAAAGAAUUAGGACAGGGUGUUUCAUGCUGCUUCAGUUACACUGCCCUGUGCUUCUGGGUCAUCCAAAGACUGGAACCUUAGACGGGUGCCUUGUGCAGUGCUUUGAAGAAGUGUCAGUAUCUCCAGUAGCUAUGGGAGAGAGUAGCUGUCUUAAGCCUGGGUGUGUUGAUAGCAUUCUUCUCCUCUCCUUCCUUUGUUCUUCUCCCCCAUUCCUUGAGUGGUGCCUUGAACAUGCGUGGUGAUCCAGGUGAUGUGAUGAAUUACUGUAGCCACCUCACCUGUUCUGAUAUUACCAGUUCAUCUGCAUCACCCCUAAUCUGUGCAUUUAAGACUUUGGAGUUGCUCCGAAUCACCGGUAUUAUUGUCAGAAUAGCAAGUAAUCCAUUGAUGUGCUGUUCCUUUUCAUUUACACUGCUGCUGCAUUCACGUUCAGCACCUGCCCCAGCACACCCCUUGAAGGUGACCUCCUGUCCUGAGGCAGGGUGGGUUAUGCUGGCAGCACACACGCACAGCCUAAGAGCUGCUGCACAGCUGCUUGGAAACACUGUGCUUCCUGAGCCAGUCUGCAUCUUUCUGUUCUGCUCCUGUGCUCCACCUCAUUUGUUUUUGACUGCCAGUACCUUUCCAGAAAUUCCCCUUUAGGGGAUUUGCUGUUUAGAUGGGAAACUCUUUGCAUUAAAUAUCUUUACCAUGUUGUAUCGUUGGUUUUUAAGCAGAACUUUCCAUUGUUCUCACUAGGGAGUCUGUUUUCAAAAUGAAUGGUAUAAUUUGGCUCUUCAGCAGUAAGGUUUGUUCAAACAAGAGCAAUCUUGGUUAUAGACACAGGAAUGCUUCCAAGCUGAAGGAAUCAAUGUGAUUUCUAUUUUAAACCUGACUUUGAAUUGCCUUCCUGGCCAUCUCGAAUUAAAAGUUUCAGCUCCGUAUUUCCUAUUGCAUGCCUAACACUUUUCAGUGUAUGUGGGACAAGGUAGCACUAAAAUGCGGAAGCAUGGAAAAAGGAGACAGUGUUUUCUUUCUUGGAGCAACUGCAGUGUUCACUCGGAGAAAAGAGCAGGAUCAGGGAGGUGGUGGUGUCUUUGUAUUUGGCACUGGUGAGACUGCAUUUUGAGUGCUGUGUUCAGUUUUGGGCCCCUCGCUACAAGAAAGUCAUUACUACCCUGGUAUCAUUAUGUGGCUGUAUCAUUAUGAAAGCAGACACUCAGGAGGCACGGAAAGCAAAAGCUUUGCUAUGCGUGUUGGUUCUCAGGCCAAACAGAGUUAAGUGCUUUAAUAGGCAUACGUACUUGCAAAGGAACUAAACAUAAAGAGAUAACUUUGUGCACAAAUCUGUGUAAAACUAAGUACUUCCAAGGGAAUGUGUGUGAUCCAGUGCAGUUCUUGAGAGAAUGGUAUGACUUACAGGAGUGUACAGCUGAAGCAGGGAACAAUUUUGCAGUGUUAUAUCAGCCCCAGCUCUUUAUCAGGCUAUCUUUCAUAGAUGUGCAGAUCCAGUAGAGAAAGACAUCAUUAGUGGCUGUAAUUGCUUUCUGUGCUCGAGGAGAGCAUUUGAAGAAAUAGUAUAUAGAAAAUAUAAACAUCAGAGCUGCAAUCUGAUAGAGAAUGAGGGCAACUAGUGUAAUCUUUUUCUGAGGCCAAACUGUGAUUUUAUGUUUAUGUUAUGGAAAAAGCACUAAUGUCUUAUAACACAUCUCUUAAUGUAUUAAGUUUAGCAUAUUAAAGUCAUUACUAGACAAGAUUGAUGUUCAACACCGACUGCUCAUGCUUUUAAUCUGUAAUUUUACUGGGAAGUCAUGCUCUGCCCAAACAUUUGUUGUUGUUUUUCUCUUGCAGUAGACUUGAAGAUCUGUUUAAAAUCCUCCUUAUUAAAAUGAAUGGAUAUUGAAAUGUUCUGUUCAACAAACUACCAUUGUUUUUGCUAUUUUUAAAACAAAUUUAUAAGUUUCUGAACUAGUUUAGCAAGCAUUCUUUAAAAUGUAGUUAAUUUGCUCAGUUGAGAGCACUAACCUAGUGAAGCAUUUGUGGCGUAUUGCUGAAACAAGGUUUUGUUCAUUAGUUUGGUUUUGAAUAUAAGAAUAAGUACAUUCUCUUAUUUUAAAUAGAAAGCAGGUGGGUGAAUACAUAUUAGACACCUUCCCAGGUGAAAGUAAUUUGCUUCGUCUGCUUCUCUAAGAGAUACCAUAAAAAAACAUAUCCUUAAUAUCAGUUGUAGCCAGAAUUUUGUGAGCUUGCUCCUGAAUGGAAGCUAUUAGUUCAGCCAUGUUUGGUACAGCAGCAGUUAAAGGUCCUGUGUUUGUAUUUAAGUUCUGAAAAUCACCUGCGAGCCUCCAUUUGCUGUUCAGUUUCUGAGCCAGCCACACAGGAGAAUUAUAUGGUGAGUGGGUAGGAACUAAAUUCCCUCAUUUUUAUGAUUAGUAAUGACUGUUGAAAUGCCCUCCUCUAAUCCCGAAGAUAGGGGCCAAUGUUUUAUAUUUACAGUUUUUGAGGGAAGUAGUACUGGGGCUAAUUGUAACAGCUGCAGUGCUGUAGAGAGGGAUCCAGAUUUCUAUUCCCUUCCCCCUAGGCCCAAUCCAAGAUUGUCCUUUCAGCAAAUCUAAUCCUGCAAUAUUAGUAGGCAAAGAGCCCACUACCAUUGUGACUUCUGUUGACUUUGAGUUCCCAUGUAUCCAACACUUAACCGUUGCUGUGUGCAAAGGCCGAGAGUUGCCAAACACCUUUAUAACCUCUGCUUUUUUCUGUCAUGACAUACCUGGCAGUUCACAGCUGCAUCUUCCCUUAGAGCAAAUAUGUGGGCCCCAGUAUCUACCAAGAAUGUUACUAGGACUUCAUUGAGACCUAAUGGGAAGGUGAUCAUCAAGUCCCCUUGGGAAUUUUCAGCAAGCUUUCCUUAAAAACAUCCACUCCCUGUUCCUCAGCUCACUUACAGGGGUUGGUGCAAGCUGUUUCCCAGCUCCCUGCUGGGAUCUUGCACAAUGGUGGGCAAAGUGGCAACUGGAUUGCCCGGAGGGGGAAGGACACUUGGGCUAUCUCCCUGCAGAUGAGAGGUGUUCCACCCAUAGCAUACUUUAAUUGCAAACAAGCAGCCUUCUGUAUACUUUCUGUAAGCUGAUCUAACCCAGGAGUAGCUAUAUCUACUGGGUCUCCUCUGGGUGGAGGGAGGGAGUGACAGCUGACAACCACUGAAGGAGCUCCAAAUACAGUGACUGGAAGUGAGAGUCCUCUUUCCUGCAAUUUGACUUUCCCAUAGAGUAGCUGAAUAGGCUACUCAUAAACCUAGUCCAAGUGGUGAUGAUUUGGCUUAAUGGAUCAAGCUUUUACUACUUCAGCAGGCUAUGGAACAGUGUAAGGAAAAAAAGAAAACAUUUUAAAAUGUGCCAUUAAAGUUAACUGAAAUAUUUAUGCCCUGGUCUUGUGAGUCAGCUGCAUUUUGACAAGAGGUCUGAGAAUAUGAUGAGGACGACGACAGUACAGUAAAUAUGAUUUUCAGCUGAAGAAAGUUUAACACUGCCUCUGUGGGUGAGAGUCAGAAGGAAGAGUGUGUUUUCACUCACCUUUUGAUCCCAAAAGCAAAACAAGGAUUUGUUUCUCAGAGGGUGCCAAACCGAGGACUCAUUAGAGGGCAAAAAGAGAGAUUAAGUGGUAAAAUACACUGGGCAAGACGGGAGGACACAAUGGUGAGCAUAUUUUUAGAAGUCAUAAAUUAUCAUCCUUUGUACACCUCAAUACUCAGCCACAUCAGUGGAGGUGGCCAUGCACUUCUGUUUCCAGGCUGAUGUACAGCUUCACAUCAGGAAAACAAUGGAAAAUUCCUCCAAAACCACGGGCAACCUUCUGCUCUUUCUGCAGAAAUCUUUCCCAAAUUAGACCUUUCCCAUAUCUCCAAAGUGCAUGAAGAUAGCAGCUUUGUAUUUGUUAGUCAUCAGUUGAUACUAAUAGUGGAUGGUGUGAUAAAUCCCUGAUACUUUUGACAUUUUGGUGUCCCAUUGUACUUGUUCUGCAAUCUCUUCUAGUCAUUGCUAGAAGUUUAGGAUUGUCUGUGCUUACUUUAUAAAUAGAGUUUAUAUGUUAUCACUUCAGUUGUUGCAAGCUUCCAAGCCAAGAGUGCAUUUCAGUCCAGCAGAUUUGUCAACCUGUUGAUUCAAGGAAUUUCUACUUGGCUGUAUGGGCAGGUGUGAAUUAAAAUCCCAGCUCCAAAGAUUUUAAAAGUUCUGUAGUAAUUCAGAUGGUGUUUUCCCUUUUGGUCUUGUUUUCUUUCUUUGACUUUUGUUGUUCUCUUAUGUGAGCAACAGGGAGUUUUCAGUUAUUUGUGGAGAUUAGCAUGCUGGGCAAGCUCCUAGUCUUUGUGGAACAGAGGAGCCGUGGGACAGAAUGCUACCAUUUCUGUUUCAUAUGGUACUGCGACUGCAGAGAACUGAAAACCCCCGUUUCUGUUCCCAUCUCAAGCCUCUAAGGGAAAUUGCCCUUCAGCUCUUUGACAGUUGCAAGAAAAAGGAAAACUCUGCUGUCUGUCUGUCAAGACAACAAAUUAUUUAAGUAGAAGAAACAGAGCACUCAGCAGAACUGCUUAGCUAAAGGGAGAGUUCUUCAUGGCCUGAGGUAGUAGUGCUCCUCUUCAUCCCACUGACAGUAGAAUGGUGUGACCUCCUUUUCCUGUCCCCUCUGUUUCAAAAUUACAUUUAACGCAGUGUUACAAGAAAAGGCAUGUUCUUGUUCCUGCUAAUGCCAUCAAGCUGUUAUCUUUAGAAAUAAUGCAAGAUUAUUUGUGGGAUUUCAGAGUGAUGUUAUGAAACCACAGAGUCAGAAAUGCUAUGCCUCCAAAUUUUCUUAAGGUAGAGCAAUAGGAUUUCAGUUAAUUUAUGAGCCUAAGUGUUUGCAGGUGACACUCAAGUAUUUUACUGGGCCAUGGAUGUUAAAUAUUAGGCUUUUACAUUCCUGAGUGUUGUUGUAAACCAAAGUUCUUGUACUCCCUGGGAGCACACUGAAAAUGCACUUAUCUGUUUUGAAAUCCCUUUUCUUUAGAAAUUGUCCUGUGAAUUCCAUGCACCAUAACUCCAUUUUGAAAGAUAAUCUGUGAGAAAGUGAGAAAAUUAACCUUUUCAUCAAGGAGGAGCAGAGGAAGAUCUUGAACUGUCUCAGUCCUACCACUAAUCCCACAUUUAGUAAACUUUUAAGUUUAGAAGUAGUCAUGUUCAUCCAGGUACAGAAACUUUCUUGAUUAAUAUGAGGUAUAUCGCUGAGUAUUGGAGCAUUAAGCACGCAUGAGCAAAGUCUCACUUAAGUGAUCAAAAUACCACCUUAGGAAAAGGCUCUUUUACUAUGUCUUUUCACAUGGCAGCAGCCUCCCUAUGUAUGAGAGUAUCCUGAGCAUUUGUAGUUAAAUGGAGGACUGGAGAGAUCAGCUAUUGGACUGAGGACCCUGACAACUGUGUUUUUGACAACAUAAGAACUGGAUUGUAUUUUGUAUGCUAGGCACUACCAGAAGCCUUUCCUUGAGUGCUUGUUUUUUCCCUCUUUUUGGGUAGGCGCUUUUUCUGGGGCUGCAUUAUGAAGGGUUAUGUAAUAUAUUGUAAAUAUGCCAGAUAUCAGUGAUGAGGCUAGUGCUACUCCCACCAAAACCAGUGGCAAGGCAGUCUACUUCAGCAGAAGAUUGAGGUUCAAAAUUGUUUGAGAGGAGAUGAUUGUUCUUUUUUAUUAUUUUUAUUUUUCUUAUUACUCCCUCCUUUCCCUUUUCAGUGCCAUUACCAUAUGGAUUUAAUCCUGUUCCAUGUCCAUUAGCCACUAAUGCUGCAUUAAUGUGAGCUAGCUUUAUAAGAUCCUCCCUGGUGUAUGGUCCUGGCUCCUAUGGCAUGUAUAACAAAAGCAGCUUGGUUCCCCAUGGCUUCUCUCAUUCAUUCCUAAUGUAUUUACCCACUCUGCCCACUUUUUCUAAUCUGUUUUAUCACUGGCUAUAUUAAUGCUGCCCCUGAAUAAUGACUGGAGUUGGAGAUAUGAAAUACUGAAAAAUUGACUCUGAAAAGACCAGAAGCUGGAAACAGAUGAAAAAGCAUUGCUGAGGGUGGUGUGUUCUUCAGAACUGAAAUCUAGCACUAUUCAUGAUUUUUAAAUGUCCAGUUACCAAAAGGAAGAAAUCCUUUUUUAUUCUCUCCCAGGUUUAUUGCAUUUGUUUUGAUUACUUUUGCAACCUUUUUUCAUUGGACAGUUUUGCUAUACUUUGUAAAUACAGUAGUAAUACUUUAGCUCAAAUACUUUUUUUAAUUUGAUGAAAAUGAAGUAUUUGUUUUCAUUUUAUAUUGGUCUUUGAAAUGCAAUUUAAUAUUUCCAUGGUACUCAUAUUGAAAUUGUCAGAUGUAUGUAUGCAUUGUUGAAAUCAUUGUAGAAUGCUAAAUAAAUUGUUUUUGACAUCUGAGAGCAGCCUAGAAUGACAAAGAAAGAUGACUAUAGGUCUGGAGAGUAAAUGCAAUGACAUGAGGAGUUGCCAAGUAAACUCUGAAAUCCUUUUCAAACAUGAUGAUUUUUGUCCCCAUUUCAUGCCACGCACUCUUACCCUCUGAAAUGAGAUUGCACAUUUUAAGUAGUGUGUGUAAGUGGAUUUGUAAAAUACAGACCUGGUAGCUU
rnacentral:lncRNA from 1 species